rnacentral:rRNA from 1 species
CCUACGGGUGACAGCAGUGAGGAAUAUUGGUCAAUGGGCGAGAGCCUGAACCAGCCAAGUCGCGUGAGGGAAGACGGUCCUAUGGAUUGUAAACCUCUUUUGCCGGGGAGCAAAAAGCGGUACGCGUACCGCAUCGAGAGUACCCGGAGAAAAAGCAUCGGCUAACUCCGUGCCAGCAGCCGCGGUAAUACGGAGGAUGCGAGCGUUAUCCGGAUUUAUUGGGUUUAAAGGGUGCGUAGGCGGAAGGUUAAGUCAGCGGUCAAAUGUCGGUGCUCAACACCGGCCUGCCGUUGAAACUGGUCUUCUUGAGUGAGCGAGAAGUAUGCGGAAUGCGUGGUGUAGCGGUGAAAUGCAUAGAUAUCACGCAGAACUCCGAUUGCGAAGGCAGCAUACCGGCGCUCAACUGACGCUGAGGCACGAAAGCGUGGGGAUCGAACAGGAUUAGAUACCCCAGUAGUC